rnacentral:rRNA from 1 species
GACGAACGCUGGCGGCGUGCUUAACACAUGCAAGUCGAACGGACAGGCCAUACUUUUGCUUGCUGCACGAGUGGCGAACAGUUGCGUACCACGUGAUUACCCUGCCCUUGCCUUCCGGAUAACUUCGGGAAACUGUGGCUAAUGCUGGCUAGUAGCGCAUGAUGCAUAUUGUUGCUUGGAAAUUAUCUGCGGUUGGGGAUUGACGCGCGGCUUGUCAGCUCUUUGGUGUGGUAGCUGCUUACCAAGGCUUCGACGGGUAGCCGGCCUGAGAGGGUGACCGGCCACAUUGGGACUGGGGUGGCGCCCAGACUGCUACGUGAGGCAGCGGUGGGAAAUAUUGCACAAUGGGCGGAAGCAUGAUGCAACAUUGCCGCGUGCGGAAUGACUGCUGUAGGGGUAGAAACCGCUUGCGAGUGGGACGAAGAGUGAGUGACGGUAAUGGGUCAAGAAGCACCGGCUAACUACGUG